rnacentral:tRNA from 1 species
GUUUGUGGGUCAGUGGUAGAGCGCUUGCCUCGUACACAUGAAGCACUGGGUUCCAUUCUCAGCACCACA